ensembl:lncRNA CRTC3-AS1 CRTC3 antisense RNA 1
UCUUUGUUUUUGGUGUUUUAGAGUCGGUGAAGGCUUUAAAGGAAGUAGGCAGCUGGAACCCGGCUGUGGCGGGUUGAAAAGCCCGGGCGUUUGAGAGCUGAGACUUGCCAGUUCCCACAGGCCAAGCCAGGCGUCUGCACCCCAUUCUCUUGGUUCCGACGAAUAUGCUCUCCAUGAGGGUGUUCUUCAGGGCCUACCACAAUGGCUGGCACUAGAGAAGGGCACAAAAUUGAAGAACAGUGAAGACAAAAGCAAUAAGAUGAUUAAGGCCAUGUGAGACAGCAACAAUAUCAGGUUCCUGAACACACAACAACAUAAAAGCAGUAAAGAAGCUGAGGGAUAGCUCGCUCACCUGGCAGGAUGGUGUUCGGGAGACUCCCGCAGUUGGAAUACGGGCUUGGUCUCAAAUGAAAAGAGUCCUGCAGUUCUCGGGAACCUUGUUGCACCAGAGGCACCUGGAAGCAUCGAAGGUCAUGUGAGGAAGGCCACACCUCUGUUUCCAAGGAGGAAGAUGUCACCGAUGCCCACAGCCUGCCACAGCUCGGGGCUGGUAGGCUCCUCUCGAUUCCUGCACGUUUCUGCUUCUGACACUGCUUCUACCCGGAGAGUUGUGUAUUUACCAAGAGUCAGUUGUGUGAUUCUCAAACAUACUUAUGU